UACAGAGGUGUCAAGCGUUGCUCGGUGUCACUGGGCUUAAAGGGCGCGUAGGCUGUGCGGUACGGUUCGGGUGAAAUCCCUCGGCUCAACCGAGGAACCGCCUGGGCGACGGCCGCGCUGGACUGCAUCAGGGGCGGAUGGAACUCCCGGUGGAGCGGUGAAAUGCGUAGAUAUCGGGAGGAACGCCGGUGGCGAAAGCGAUCCGCUGGGGUGCAAGUGACGCUGAGGCGCGAAAGCUAGGGGAGCAAACGGG
rnacentral:rRNA from 1 species